AUCGCUUCUCGGCCUUUUGGCUAAGAUCAAGUGUAGUAUAAGUAAAAAUGUUUGCUGAAAAAGUCUAUCAUCCUGAGUUUGAGCCCCAAUCCCAU
ensembl:snRNA LOC120100465 U2 spliceosomal RNA